UACGUAGGGUGCGAGCGUUAAUCGGAAUUACUGGGCGUAAAGCGUGCGCAGGCGGCUUUGCAAGGCAGAUGUGAAAUCCCCGGGCUUAACCUGGGAACUGCAUUUGUGACUGCAUGGCUGGAGUGCGGCAGAGGGGGAUGGAAUUCCGCGUGUAGCAGUGAAAUGCGUAGAUAUGCGGAGGAACACCGAUGGCGAAGGCAAUCCCCUGGGCCUGCACUGACGCUCAUGCACGAAAGCGUGGGGAGCAAACAGG
rnacentral:rRNA from 1 species